CAGUAGCCACGGGAAUACGAAGGGGGCUAGCGUUGUUCGGAAUUACCGGGCGUAAAGCGCACGUAGGCGGAUAUUUAAGUCAGGGGUGAAAUCCCGCAGCUCAACUGCGGAACUGCCUUUGAUACUGGGUAUCUUGAGUAUGGAAGAGGUUAGUGGAAUUGCGAGUGUAGAGGUGAAAUUCGUAGAUAUUCGCAGGAACACCAGUGGCGAAGGCGGCUAACUGGUCCAUAACUGACGCUGAGGUGCGAAAGCGUGGGGAGCAAACAGGAUUAGAUACCCCAGUAGUCCCUGUCUCUUAUAC
rnacentral:rRNA from 1 species